rnacentral:rRNA from 1 species
GACGAACGCUGGCGGCGUGCUUAACACAUGCAAGUCGAACGGAAAGGCCUGCUUUCCCUUGUGGAUUGCGGGUACUCGAGUGGCGAACGGGUGAGUAACACGUGAGUGAUCUGCCCCCAACUUGGGUAUAAGCCUGGGAAACUGGGUCUAAUUCCCGAUAGGACUGCAGGGUGGUGCCUGUGGUGGAAAACGAUUUUCUAGUGGUUGGGGAUGAGCUCGCGGCCUAUCAGCUUGUUGGUGGGGUAAUGGCCUACCAAGGCGGCGACGGGUAGCCGGCCGGAGAGGGUGGACGGCCACAUUGGGACUGAGAUACGGCCCAGACUCCUACGGGAGGCAGCAGUGGGGAAUAGUGCACAAUGGGCGGAAGCCUGAUGCAGCGACGCCGCGUGGGGGAUGACGGCCUUCGGGUUGUAAACUCCUUUCGACCGCGAGGAAGCCACCUGGUUGGAAGGGUGGUGACGGUAGUGGUAGAAGAAGCACCGGCUAACUACGUG